UCAAUUUUUUAGAUUUUAUCUUUCUUUUCCUUUGAAAGCCCUCAGUCCUUAAGCCCGAUACUUUAUUCACUUGGUCUAAAACUCUCAAACUCUUUCAAGUCUCGAGCAAUUCACCCCUUCUCCAUCAUUCUUCCGCUCUCUACUUGUUUCUUUCCGUCAUCAGAUUAUUGAAUGAGGAACUAAUGUAGCAUUUGGGUCACCCGUUCUUCAAACCCUAGUUCUCUUCAUUUUCAAUGAAAUCCUUCACAGUUUGAGUCUCGUCUACGAGCUGCUUCCCAUUCUUGUUUUCCGACCUCUGGAAUCCAAUUUUACACCUGGAGAGCCGAGACUCAAACUUCAUAUUAAGUGUCUACAUGUGUUAGUGCCGUGUUAAGUUGAACGAUGAAGAAACCUCAAAUUAUCAAGAUCGUCUUCUUCCUAUCAUCAUUGGGUUGCUCAGAACAUUCUCAAUAGGUGGACUGUGAUUAGCAGAAUUUGGAGUUUUCGGUUACGUGACAAUUCAAUGAUUUCUGAAAAGGUCCCUAGAACCCAAAAAGUAUGAAAGUUCUAUACUUCAAAAGCUCUUGUUGAGUAUGUGAAUAAGGAAGCAGGUAUUAGUUGCAUCUUUAAAACAAAAUUUUCACUUUUUACCCCUUUAUCUUUUUGUGGCAAGUGCGGACGCUGCAAAUCCCUUGCUCCUACUUAUGAGAAGGUUGCAGCAGCAUUUAAGUUGGAUGGAGAUGUACACCGAUGAUAAAGCAAGUGAAAAAGUUAUCUUUGUGGACUCUGAAUGAACUGAUAGAUAAUGCAGCAGCAAUUUGACAUUAUAGUAGGCCAAGGAUGCUCAGCCAUAGGAGGAAAAACAAACCUCCAAGCACUAGAAUACAUUGCAAAUUAUUUUGCUAUUCAGCUUCAAUAGUUAGGUUUCAUGGAACAAUUAAUGACUAUUGUAGAUGUAUUUUGGUGGCUGUAAUGACACGAUAUAUGUGUUUCAAUGAGUGAAAUGAGUUAUAAUGAAAUGACUUUUGGA